rnacentral:rRNA from 1 species
UACCAGCUCUCCGAGUGGUAGGGAUGAUUAUUGGGCUUAAAGCGUCCGUAGCCGGCUUAGCAAGUUUCCUGUUAAACUCAGCGACCUAAUCGUUGAAUCGCGGGAAAUACUACUAGGCUAGGAGGCGGGAGAGGUUGACGGUACUUCUGGGGUAGGGGUGAAAUCCUAUAAUCCCGGGAGGACCACCAGUGGCGAAGGCUGUCGACUAGAACGCGCUCGACGGUGAGGGACGAAAGCUGGGGUAGCGAACCGGAUUAGAUACCCGGGUAGUCCCAGCUGUAAACGAUGCGGGCUAGGUGUUGGGAUGGCUACGUGCCAUUUCAGUGCCGCAGGGAAGCCAUUAAGCCCGCCGCCUGGGGAGUACGGCCGCAAGGCUGAAACUUAAAGGAAUUGGCGGGGGAGCACCACAAGGCGUGAAGCUUGCGGUUC